UGAGCACAACGGAGUGAUCCACUUCAGUCUUCUUCUUUCUUUGAAUUUCAUAAUGCUCAGUAGAAAAAGACAGUCGACUUUUUAUUUAAAGUUGGCUCCAUUUGUGUUAUGAAAUGAGCUUCUGCAGCAAGUCCAGACAGAAAAACUUGGCGCAGUAGUGAUGGCCAAAUCUGACCUGUUUUGUUUUGCAAAUAUUUGAAAAAUGGGGAUAAAUUCAACAAACUAGUCCUAAGGACUAAUAUCACUUAAAGGAGAGAAAAAGCCUUUAGCAAAAAAAAACCCUACCCCCACCCCAUAUAGACCCUCUUCCCCCACAUCUUCCAGGUGUUUGGUAAACUGAAAUGGAGACCGGCGACGCAGCACAUGCUCAGUUGGAGAAAUGUACCAGUUUGCUGCGCAUGUGGCGAAAUGGACGAAAAUUGCAGAAGCGCCAGAAGAAGACACUAAGACCCAGAAGAUGGCUGCCGUGAACUGCAAUGCUGAGACUCUGCACUGAGGUUUAUCCAGUCUUAUCCAGUCUCUUAAUGUAGGGGGGUGGGGAUCUUUCCAUUUUCCCGGUAUCAAGGCUUUUGCUGCUUGAAGUAAGUGAGAGACCAAAACUUUGUAGGGUCUCUCUAAGAAUAUCCAGGAAACCCUGUCGAAAGCCUUUUCGGCAUCAGUUGGACAAAGCCGGCCUGGUCAGGAUGGAUCAAGGAUGAGUACUGCCCAUUGCUAUGAGGUUCCCCCUCAGGACGCAUUUCAAAGUUUCCCAUAACGUGGCUGGGGAGAUGUCAGAUGAGCUAUUUGUUCUAAUUAUUAGAUCAAUCCAACCUUUGAUCUUACCCCUCCUAUCAUCGGAAUGGAGAAGAAAAUCAUUAAGGCGCCAAUUAUACACUGAUUUUGCUGGGGAGUGAUCUGAUAUAAACGAGGACUUAAUCUCUGCCUGUUGGAAUAAAUGAAGCCAGUGUUGUGAUACAUAAAUAAAAUCAAUUCUGGAGUAAAGGUUGUGUGUCUUGGAAUAGUGAGUAAAAUCCCUUUUCGUGGGAUUCAUUACCAUCCAAAUAUCUAUGA